GGUUAAGUGACUAAGCGUACACGGUGGAUGCCUAGGCAGUCAGAGGCGAUGAAGGGCGUGCUAAUCUGCGAAAAGCGUCGGUAAGGUGAUAUGAACCGUUAUAACCGGCGAUACCCGAAUGGGGAAACCCAGUGUGUUUCGACACACUAUCAUGUCAUGAAUACAUAGUGGCAUGAGGCGAACCGGGGAACUGAAACAUCUAAGUACCCCGAGGAAAAGAAAUCAACCGAGAUUCCCCCAGUAGCGGCGAGCGAACGGGGAGAAGCCCAGAACCUGAAUCGGCUUGUGUGUUAGUGGAAGCGUCUGGAAAGUCGCGCAGUAAAGGGUGAUAGCCCCGUACACUAAAAUGCACAGGUCGUGAGUUCGAUGAGUAGGGCGGGACACGUGACAUCCUGUCUGAAUAUGGGGGACCAUCCUCCAAGGCUAAAUACUCCUGACUGACCGAUAGUGAACCAGUACCGUGAGGGAAAGGCGAAAAGAACCCCGGCGAGGGGAGUGAAAUAGAACCUGAAACCGUGUACGUACAAGCAGUGGGAGCACCUUCGUGGUGUGACUGCGUACCUUUGUAUAAUGGGUCAGCGACUUAUAUUUUGUAGCAAGGUUAACCGUAUAGGGGAGCCGUAGGGAAACCGAGUCUUAACUGGGCGAUUAGUUGCAAGGUAUAGACCCGAAACCCGGUGAUCUAGCCAUGGGCAGGUUGAAGGUUGGGUAACACUAACUGGAGGACCGAACCGACUAAUGUUGAAAAAUUAGCGGAUGACUUGUGGCUGGGGGUGAAAGGCCAAUCAAACCGGGAGAUAGCUGGUUCUCCCCGAAAGCUAUUUAGGUAGCGCCUCGUGAACUCAUCUUCGGGGGUAGAGCACUGUUUCGGCUAGGGGGCCAUCCCGGCUUACCAAACCGAUGCAAACUCCGAAUACCGAAGAAUGUUAUCACGGGAGACACACGGCGGGUGCUAACGUCCGUCGUGAAGAGGGAAACAACCCAGACCGCCAGCUAAGGUCCCAAAGUCAUGGUUAAGUGGGAAACGAUGUGGGAAGGCAUAGACAGCCAGGAUGUUGGCUUAGAAGCAGCCAUCAUUUAAAGAAAGCGUAAUAGCUCACUGGUCGAGUCGGCCUGCGCGGAAGAUGUAACGGGGCUAAACCAUGCACCGAAGCUGCGGCAGCGACGCUUAGGCGUUGUUGGGUAGGGGAGCGUUCUGUAAGCCGUUGAAGGUGGCCUGUGAGGGUUGCUGGAGGUAUCAGAAGUGCGAAUGCUGACAUAAGUAACGAUAAAGCGGGUGAAAAGCCCGCUCGCCGGAAGACCAAGGGUUCCUGUCCAACGUUAAUCGGGGCAGGGUGAGUCGACCCCUAAGGCGAGGCUGAAAAGCGUAGUCGAUGGGAAACAGGUUAAUAUUCCUGUACUUGGUGUUACUGCGAAGGGGGGACGGAGAAGGCUAGGCUGGCCGGGCGACGGUUGUCCCGGUUUAAGCGUGUAGGGGGUGUGACCUGGUAAAUCCGGUUGCAUAUUAACCCUGAGGCGUGAUGACGAUGCACUACGGUGCAGAAGUAGUUGAUGCCCUGCUUCCAGGAAAAUCCUCUAAGCUCCAGGUAACAUUAAAUCGUACCCCAAACCGACACAGGUGGUCAGGUAGAGAAUACCAAGGCGCUUGAGAGAACUCGGGUGAAGGAACUAGGCAAAAUGGUGCCGUAACUUCGGGAGAAGGCACGCUGGCAUGUAGGUGAAGUCCCUCGCGGAUGGAGCUGAAGCCAGUCGAAGAUACCAGCUGGCUGCAACUGUUUAAUAAAAACACAGCACUGUGCAAACACGAAAGUGGACGUAUACGGUGUGACGCCUGCCCGGUGCUGGAAGGUUAAUUGAUGGGGUCAGCCGCAAGGCGAAGCUCUUGAUCGAAGCCCCAGUAAACGGCGGCCGUAACUAUAACGGUCCUAAGGUAGCGAAAUUCCUUGUCGGGUAAGUUCCGACCUGCACGAAUGGCGUAAUGAUGGCCAGGCUGUCUCCACCCGAGACUCAGUGAAAUUGAACUCGCUGUGAAGAUGCAGUGUACCCGCGGCAAGACGGAAAGACCCCGUGAACCUUUACUAUAGCUUGACACUGAACAUUGAGCCUUGAUGUGUAGGAUAGGUGGGAGGCUUUGAAGCGUGGACGCCAGUCUGCGUGGAGCCAUCCUUGAAAUACCACCCUUUAAUGUUUGAUGUUCUAACUCGGCCCCGUGAUCCGGGGUGAGGACAGUGUCUGGUGGGUAGUUUGACUGGGGCGGUCUCCUCCCAAAGAGUAACGGAGGAGCACGAAGGUUAGCUAAUCACGGUCGGACAUCGUGAGGUUAGUGCAAAGGCAUAAGCUAGCUUGACUGCGAGAGUGACGGCUCGAGCAGGUACGAAAGUAGGUCUUAGUGAUCCGGUGGUUCUGAAUGGAAGGGCCAUCGCUCAACGGAUAAAAGGUACUCCGGGGAUAACAGGCUGAUACCGCCCAAGAGUUCAUAUCGACGGCGGUGUUUGGCACCUCGAUGUCGGCUCAUCACAUCCUGGGGCUGAAGUAGGUCCCAAGGGUAUGGCUGUUCGCCAUUUAAAGUGGUACGCGAGCUGGGUUUAGAACGUCGUGAGACAGUUCGGUCCCUAUCUGCCGUGGGCGUUGGAAGAUUGAGAGGGGUUGCUCCUAGUACGAGAGGACCGGAGUGAACGCACCACUGGUGUUCGGGUUGUCAUGCCAAUGGCAUUGCCCGGUAGCUAAGUGCGGAAAAGAUAAGCGCUGAAAGCAUCUAAGCGCGAAACUUGCCUCAAGAUGAGUCUUCCCUGGGCCUUCAAGGCCCCUGAAGGAACGUUUAAGACUAAGACGUUGAUAGGCUGGGUGUGUAAGUGCAGCGAUGCAUUGAGCUAACCAGUACUAAUGAUCCGUGAGGCUUAACCUU
rnacentral:rRNA from 1 species